UGCUGAGUUUGAUAAAGAGCUUCGAAAUUGUUGUCAACAUGUUUAUAACAUUGAACACCAAUAUAAAGCUAUCCGUGUAUUGAAGGAAAAGAUGACAAAACAUGAUGUCCUCAUACAUAUUGACUUUUCGGAAAACCUUAUGUGUAAGUAUGCGUCUGAAGUACAGUUGGUACAUUUUGGUGCAUCUCAGAGACAACUUUCCCUACAUACUGGAGUAGUUUACACGGUAUCUCAGACGUUACCCAUUUGUUCCAUAUCAGACAAUUUGGCUCACAGUCCAACUGGAAUCUGGGCACACUUAAGACCUGUGCUAAGAGAUAUUAAAGAGAGAUAUCCAGAUAUCGGGAAUCUAUUCUUCUUGAGCGAUGGCCCCACAACGCAGUACAAAAAUAAGGACAAUUUUUUUAUGAUGUCAUCAAUUCCUUUCGAGUUUGGGUUUGCCUCAGUGAAUUGGAGCUACACAGAAGCUGGUCAUGGAAAGGGAGCUCCAGACGGCGUGGGAUCCGUGGUAAAGCGUGAAGCAGACCGACUUGUAAGUCAUGGAACAGAUAUCACGGGAGCGCAGCAGCUAUGUACACUGUUAUAUGUUGAAUGAACGUGCAGAUGUUCUAUAUACCCGACAAGGAGUUUUCGUUGUCUACUAGCCAUUAUCUACAGACAGUUAAAGGAACAAUGAAAAUACAUUAGGUAUUUUCUAAUUCGAAAUACGUGAUCAGCUAUCGGGACCACAGUUGUUUUUGCAAGGCACCUAUGUCAUGCAACUGUUUUUCCCCAAUGGUUAAACACCUUUCAACAGACGACGACAUCCAGAAUCCAUGUUCAAGAAGAGAGAAACAGAUUACCCCGCCUGUAAGUGUACAGUCAGAAUCAGAAAGCAGUGUUAGCUCUGUGAAUGUCCAUU